GAAUAAGAAGAAGAAGAAGAAGAAGAAUAUCGAGAGUAGGAUAAUUUCUUCUUAUAAUGAUGUUACUCUCUUCUUUGUUAAUCUAAUCUUGAUCAUGGUAUCACAAGCUAAUUAGAUUAUUUCCUGGCACUUCUCGUUCAACGUAUUAUAAAAAGCGUUCUUCUCUCUAAAGACAACUGAGAAAAGUAACAAAACGACGAAAAAGAAUAAGAAGAAGAAGAAGAAGAAGAAGGAAGGAAAGGAAAGGAAA
rnacentral:lncRNA from 1 species